GCUACCCAGAGGAGCCACCGGCGCUACCGUGGCCCGAGUAUCCCGAGGAACUCCUGGACCUACCACCCAGCCCUGGUCGUGAUGAGCCUAUGCUCCUGGACCCCACUGAGGCCGACUUUAGGACGCAGUUAUUUCUCCUAGGCAAGAAAACAGGGGAGGUUGGACUCUGAGUUCAUGAAAAUGUUCACUCAUUGCACAUGCAAAAACCAGCAUUUGAAAGAGGCAAGGCUUCCAUGAGGUGCUGGUGGACAUUUCAGUGGCCUUUUUUGACCCACUAAAGGCACCUGACAGAGCAGGAGGGUGACAAUACAGAGAUAGAAGACUCAAACUGGCAGCUUCUGCUCAUAACUCUUGGUAUAGCUGCUGACGCCCUCCAUGUAGACUGGUGCUUCUUGAGCAGAGCCACAAAUGCAGACUUGUGGUGUCACAUGAUCACGCAGACCUGGGAUGACCAGCAGUGGCUCCAGAACUUUUACAUGAAGAAAGCUACAUUUUUGGGGGGGAGUCUUGUGAGCAGCGUGCCCUGACCCUCUGGUGUCAUGACACCUGUACAAGGACAGCCAUAUUAGUCCAGAAGCAGUUUGCUAUAACAGUCUGGAAGGUGUCUACCCUAGACUGCUACAGAUCUGUUGCUAACCAGUUUAGUGUUGGAAAGUCAACUGUGAGUAAAGUGGUGGUGAAAGUUUCUGAGGCUAUCAGAUGUAGGGUUUACCCAAUGGUGGUGGGUGUAAACAAUGUUCCUGAGGUGAUUGGAAAGCUCAUUCUCUGAAAACCAGCGAAAUGUGCUGGGGCUAUUGAUGGGAUUCAUGUCCACAGUUUGCCCUCCUCAGGAAGCAAAUGAGUACAUAAACCACAAAGAGCAGUACUCCAUUGUUUAUGCAGGCCCUUGUGGACCACAGAGGCCAAUUUAUGGACCUCAAGAUGUGAUGUAGUCAAAAGGUUCAUGAUGCAAGGGUUUUCCGUCAGUCAGAAGCCUACUUUUAUGGAUAAGCUGGGACACUAUUCCCACCAAUUGACAUUGUCAUAAAUGGAGUAACUGUCCUCACUGUCGUUCUAGGGGACCCUUACACUCUUUGUCUUGGCUUAUGAAACCAUAUCCAGAUCUCAGAGGGCCCCGCAAAAGGUUUAUUUACAUUCUUAGCAGUUGUAGAAUGGUGGCUGAAUGUGCAUUUGGCAGACAGCACGAGUGGGAUUUCACUCUAUAGAUGCAUUUGAAUUCCAGUGUCGUCAACAGUGUCUGUACUAUUGCAAAGAGCACAGCAAGCCACAAUCUUUAAGAAGCCAAAAAUGAGCCAUUUGCACUUGAAUGGACCUAUGAUAGUAUUGGACUGCUGAACCAAUACGCUCAACCAGACAGUGCACCAGUCACAGCACAGGAUGUUCCUGGGCAACAGAAAUCAAGGCUGCUCUGUGCUGCUACAUUAUGGACUUACACAGGCCUAUGGAAAAAGGAGAAUAGCACAUUUCUGACUUUUUGUGCAGCAGUGUGUACAGUGAAUGAGGUACUAUCACAUCACAGGGUGCAAUGGGAGUGGGUACUGUCAUAACAAUGAAUGGGAGGAGGUAUUGAUUGUCAUUAAUUUUUAUUUUGGAUGACAUAACUGUUAAUGUAAUGGGGGGAUUAUGUAUUUACAUUAUUGGUGUACAUAGAUAUACUGAAAUUAUUUAGUUAUAACUUGUCUAUUGUGCCUUAUCCUGUUUAUCUUUAUUAUUCAAAAUACACAUUAUAAGAUGUGAUGGCAAUAAAGUUUCUUAGUAAAAUAAAAGCCUUUAUUUGUCUUACAAAUAUAACCAUAUUAAAAUAUUGCCAGGAAGGCCAGCUGUCACUAGAACAAUGAAGCAGUAAUAAAAACCAACACCACAACCACUAAUAAAACAAUGUGCCUAAGCCAAACACUGAACAAUCCAAACAGUGCCAUCAAAGAAAAACCCAAUGUUGCAUGUCCUUCUUUCCCUUUCCUGUGCAGUUAGCACAGGCUUGUCGCCACUGAACAGGAGCCUACAGG